rnacentral:misc_RNA from 1 species
GAAAUUUUUUGGUAUUGUUUAAUAAGAAAUUUUACUUGUCAGAUAAAAAAAAAGAAAAUGGAAGGAUCUGCUAAGUGGUAUCUGGUUUUCUUGUUUGUUAUUGUUACUAUAAUCAUGUUAGCAAUUCCCUGCUUUCUGGGUGGUUAUAAUUUUUGAGUUCAUAAUUCCAUUCUCUGAUUUGUGACCUCUUUGUAGGGUGAGUGGGUUCCAGUUGUUG